rnacentral:rRNA from 1 species
UGCAGAGGGGGCAAGCGUUGUUCGGAAUUACUGGGCGUAAAGGGCGCGUAGGCGGCCUUCUAAGUCGAACGUGAAAUCCCCGGGCUCAACCCGGGAACUGCGUCCGAUACUGGGAGGCUUGAAUCCGGGAGAGGGAUGCGGAAUUCCAGGUGUAGCGGUGAAAUGCGUAGAUAUCUGGAGGAACACCGGUGGCGAAGGCGGCAUCCUGGACCGGCAUUGACGCUGAGGCGCGAAAGCCAGGGGAGCAAACGGG